AGCAGCCGCGGUAAUUCCAGCUCCAAUAGCGUAUAUUAAAGUUGUUGCAGUUAAAAAGCUCGUAGUUGAACUUCGGGGUUUACCCAUUGGUCAGGCUUAAUUGUCUGCACUGGUGAGAUGAAUCUCUACCAUCUGAGGAACUUUCAUGCCAUUUAUUUGGUGUGAUUGGAAAUCAGGACUGUUACUUUGAAAAAAUUAGAGUGUUUAAAGCAGGCUAACGUCUGAAUACAUUAGCAUGGAAUAAUGAAAUAGGACGGACUGAUUCUAUUUCGUUGGUUUCUAGGAUCACCGUAAUGAUUAAUAGGGAUAGUUGGGGGCAUUAGUAUUCAAUUGUCAGAGGUGAAAUUCUUGGAUUUAUUGAAGACUAACUACUGCGAAAGCAUUUGCCAAGGAUGUUUUCAUUAAUCAAGAACGAAAGUUAGGGGAUCGAAGACGAUCAGAUACCGUCGUAGUCUUAACCAUAAACUAUGCCGACUAGGGAUCGGACGAAGUUAAUUUUAUAAUGACGCGUUCGGCACCUUACG
rnacentral:rRNA from 1 species